rnacentral:snRNA from 1 species
CGCGCCUAACGGCGUGCCUC